CCGCUGGAGCAUGCGGUCCCGCGUGGACCUGGGCCGCCGUCGUGGUGAUGACAGGUGCCACAGGUGCUGCUGCUGCUGCGGCGGGCUGAGGUGAGUCUGGGCGUCUCUGGGCCUCGAUAGUGUGUGUGGGCGGUGCGUUUACCGGUUCCGCUCUGGCCACAGGUCUCACUCGCCUCAGGGGAUGACUCGCCGGGUCGGUCUGGGCCGCUGGUGCUGCUGUUGUCGCCGGCGCCGCCGCUGCAGGGGCCUGUAUUGGCUCAUCUACCGCCAGACCGGCCAUCCAGUCCACAAUUGUCUCUCUGGCCUCUUUUAAUGUGUCCGGGCCGAGUCUGCGGCCAAACUGCCUUUUGGCCCAGGCUGCCGCCACCUCGAACGGGUCACUCCACUCAGGACUAUUGAGUCUGUGAAGGUUCCGGAUUUCCUCCUUUAUCACAGACUCAUAGUGGUCCUGUAAAAUGACCAACGCAGUGUGCUCCCAGUUCUUAGCGUUGCCGUCAAUAAGCAUCUGCGUGGCCGUGUUGGGAAUAGCCGGCUUAAUGAAUGCGGCUAACUGCUGGGUCAUUCUAGAGAUCGUGACCGGUGGGUGUGUUAUAACAAUGUUAGAAAAAUGAUGUGCCGCUUUAAUGAUCUUAUGGAGGAUCCGGCAUUUAACAGUGAAAAGUGGGUCGUCAGAUCUGGGCCUAUUCUGAGCGCCCUCAUUGUUCUGGUUCUGGUUUCGCUGGUACCGUGUGUUAUUGCUAUUUACGUUGCUAUUGUUAUUGCUAUUAUUAUUAUAGGGGGGGCGUUGAAAGCGGGAGUCGAAGGACCGGGGCUGUGCGGGUCUUGGACGGGGACCGCGGUUAGCGGGACGUCCCGUGUACCUGUCAUCCUGGCCGCCAUCAUAGCGCCACCGCGGGGCGCCUCCCCGAUCCGCGGGUCUCCGGACAGCGUUCGCGUAGGUGUCGCGUGGAUAGCGGGGCUGCUGUCGCUGGAAACGUGGCGGUGCGUUCUGCUGAAAGCGGGGCUGUUGCGGCUGGAACUGUUGCGGGGCUCGGCGCUGGUCCUGUGGCGGAGCGUGCUGAUUGCGGCGCCUACCGCGUCUGCCGUACUGCACCAGCGUCCACUCGCCUUCAUCCUCCCGGCCACGCCCGUACAUGUCGCUAGCUAGUGAAGCCUCGUGUUCACUAGCCACGAAAAAAAAGGCGAAGGAAAAGUUGUUCUUUUUACCUUUUACUUAACCGGAACAAUAACAAC
ensembl:lncRNA